GGAGAGAUGGCUCAGAGGUUAAGAGCAUUGACUGCUCCUCCAAAGGUCCUGAGUUCAAAUCCCAGCAACUACA
rnacentral:tRNA from 1 species